UGAUUCCCAGUAUGGCCAUGUAAAAAGUAGGUUUAUGUUAAAUUAAACAGCAAUGCAGAAUCAAAUUACACAGAUGUUACUGGCAGUUUCAGAUGAUGGCUAUCCAUGCCAAGAACAUAUCGUAUUGUGCAAAAGUGUUAGGCAAGUGUGAAAAAUGCUGUAAAGUAAAAUGCUUUAAAAUAGACAUAAUUUCUUAUCAUUUAACAAAAUGCAAAGUGAGUGAACAGAAGAAAAAAUCAUUGUUUUAGGUAGACUUGCUCAAAGUCAGGGAUUUUUUGACAUACACUUAAGUGUAUGAUUAAACCGUUAUACCAAAAAGAUCCUUAUUAUCAGGAAUUUAAUAUUUAGGUUGAAACAAUCACUAACUGAAACAGAAACAGCUGUGUAGGAGGAAUAAAACUUGGUAAGGGCCAGUCAAACUCACCAGCAAGGACUACAUGAAGAGAGAGAAGCAACCGAGGCUGCCUAAAUCUACAGGUACUUCAUUCAACCAUGCAAGUCAAUGGAGCUCAGCUUUCUAAUCGCAA